CUCUUUAGCUUGGCAUUUGAAUCGGCUUUGCUGUUGCGAAGUAGAGUGGCGGCUUCGGCUGCCGAGGGUCGAUCCAUUUGGGAAAUGUUGUGUACUUCGGUAUGCAUCUCAAUUGGACCUGAUAUCAGGCAAGAUUACCCGCUGAACUUAAGCAUAUUAAUAAGCGGAGGAAAAGAAACUAACAAGGAUUCCCCUAGUAACGGCGAGUGAAGCGGGAAGAGCUCAAGCUUAAAAUCUCCGUGCAAGUUUUGCGCGGCGAAUUGUAGUCUAUAGAGGCGUGAUCAGUGUGGGCGCUUGGGGCAAGUUCCUUGGAAGAGGACAGCAUGGAGGGUGAUACUCCCGUUCAUCCCUGAGUUGCUCGUGCGUACGAUCCGUUUUCUUUGAGUCGCGUUGUUUGGGAAUGCAGCGCAAAGUAGGUGGUAAAUUCCAUCUAAAGCUAAAUAUUGGUGCGAGACCGAUAGCGAACAAGUACCGUGAGGGAAAGAUGAAAAGAACUUUGAAAAGAGAGUUAAAGAGUACCUGAAACUGCUGAAAGGGAACCGAAUCGUUUCCAGUGUCUAUAAUCCGUGGUAUAUUUCAUUGGCGAGUGUGUGCGUGCGUGUGCUGUGGCAGCGGCUUUUUUGGCUGCGCUCGGCGUGUGUGCUGUGUGUGCUUGCUGGUGCCCUGUGCUGCGGUGGGACGUCAAGGUCAGUUCGUAUGCUGCGGGAAAUGGCCGCCGAGGAGGUAGGGCUUACGCUUGCGUUUGUCUGUUAUAUCUUGGUGGACGAGUAGUCGCGGUUGGGACUGAGGUGCCUACAACGUGUUUUUGAGUGGGCCUGUGUCUCUGUGUGCGCCGUGUGCGGAUAGCUUGCUAUGCGUGUGUGGUUGUGUGUGGAUUGAUGUGGGUUUUAACUUGUUGCCGUUCGGGACGUUGACGAAAUGGAGCGAUUUGACCCGUCUUGAAACACGGACCAAGGAGUCUAACAUGUGUGCAAGUGUUAGGGUGUGGAAACCCCAGCGCGAAAUGAAAGUGAAGGGCAGCGUAAGUUGUCUGAGGUAG